ensembl:lncRNA
CACGCGGUCAGACUCCGCACGCGCACACCCACUUUGUGUCCAGUCCCUUGAGUAAUCAAGCUGCCACAUUACAGCCCCUUGGUGUGGCUGCUUACAUUAGCACGAAGCUAAUGGGGUUUUUGUUGGUCGUCUGCUCCGUGCUGGGGGGGGUCACAAAAAGGUAAAAGGGGAGAAAAAAAAUCUGCUUAAAAUUGCUGAAUAAUCACCCGGACUAAUUCUGAUUACGCCCCAUGGUUGUCAUGCAGUUGCAGGGGCCCGUGUGUCUGCCGGGUGAUGCAUCAGAAUCGCAUCGUAUUUGCUCAAGCAUUACUGAAAUGGCGCCCAUCCAGACGCCGAGGCGCUCUUUGUUCUGAGUCUUAAACCGAGACAAAGUCUUCCCGCGAGGAUUCGUCGAGACUCCAGAUCCCCAGCAGCUGCAGAUCUCUGAGCUCACCAGAGACCCCUUUUAUCGGCGCUGCAGAACAAGGCAAACUCCUGUAAAUGGAGUCCCACUGAUUCACCCGUUAGUCAAUGCGGCGCGAUGCUUUGUGGUCAUCAGCAAACACGGCACAGGCCCCGUGGACACAAGGGACAAACAAAGAAAGGCGACUCGGCUUCAGUGUUGUGCAUUGUGGGUAAUUGGGACUCCGGUACAUGCAGGCCGAGCGCGGGCUGAAACGAAUGGAGAUUCAUGUAAAUCACCGGUGUUCACUUGAUAAAUGGGACGUGGUCUUUUCUUUUGUCAAACUCAGUCUGGCGUCAUGCCCAUGAGGGAGGGGGGGGGGGGGGGGGUAGGAGCCGACAGACUGAGUCAGGUUUAACCUCAAAGUGCCAGAUCCAAUAACUUCAUAUAGUCCCAGCCCAUCUGUUUGGUUUGUUGAAGGGCGCGAGGACCCCCCGCUCCCACUACUCUUCCCCCCCCCCGCGUCCCUCCCAGCAUCACGCUGCGGACCGGACCAAAGACGCACACACACACACUGGCUAUGAACCCUGCCACCUGUUGGCACUGCAGACAUCUUGGUCCCCGUCGGCGGAAGGAAGGCAGAUUGGUGACGGCCGGUGGGAUUGUGGGAGUUUGAGGACGCGGGUCCGGACCAGUUUGUUCACGUAAUCAAUCUGGGUCUGAGAUGAGAGUAAAGACCGCCGAGGCUCGGGGUUGAGUAGAAUUGACCUUGGCAUGACAGGUAAUAAUAGCGCGACUGUGAGGCCGUCUGGAGCUCAUUUCCGUGACAGCGGGACCCUCAUUGUGAACAGCCGAGGGAGCAGAGAUUUGACGAUGCGAGACAAGGAUGUUUUUUUGUUUUUUUUAUUCUUUAUGAAUGUACUGAUGAUCCCAGACUGUGAUCAUUUUUUAUUGUAAAUUGAAAUGGUAAAAAUCCAGAUGUUUUUGACGGUUCGGCCUGCUGGUGUCUCGGGAGCUCAGUCUCUUUGCACUCGAUAGAAGCUUCGCGACACAGUAAUUGCUCUACGAACGCUGAGCCGAGUUUGUACUGCACCAUAUGUGCCGUUUGAUUUGGUAUCAAAUGUUUUUUUGCCACCUUCUGAAACGGGUUACGCACCGAAAGUUGAAAGCUGCAAAUCAGAUAAGCGGUGGCGUCUGGUAUGCAGGCUGAUUUCUCCCUUCACUGGCUGCACAGAAGAGGAGGAGGAGGAGGAGGAAGAAUUUGUGUAGUCCUGCUGUGGCGCCAUCCCGCCUGAAGCGAAGGCCCGAGUCCCCGAGUAAGAGACCUGGGAGACGGCGACUUCUUCCCGGCUGAUCCGUCAACUCGUCCCCUGCGUGAGACCUUCCCACGUAGCCACUAGCCUGAGCUGCACUGGUUGCCAUGUUCACUGCGGGGACCUCACACUCUCCGUCUAACGUGCCGAUACUAUGUGCGCUGGGAUUUCCAAACUUUUCCACCUCCUGGGGGCAAAGCUGCUGCAGUGAGUGUAAGAAGCCUGCUGUUACUGACGCACUACGUAAUGUAAAAUGUGCAUCGUCUCACUGCAAGAUUACAAGUUGCGAGUUGAGGGCUUGUUAGUGUCGCUGACUGACGUGUUGCUUUACAGUGAAGUGCAAAAUGCCGAUUCCUCAUUAUCUGGACGGAAUUAGACCUUUGCUUUGCCAGGCGGGUGGAGAAGGACAUUGAGGAAGUGUAUGAUUUUGUGCACAGAAACGAUCUUUCGGUCGGCAUUUUUAGCAUUUGGACUCGGGCUUCCCACAAUCUUGGCAAGUUGAAUCUGUGUCAUCCUCCUACACUUAAAAUACACGCUCGCAAGAGCAAAUGUGGCCCUUCGUGGCCGAAGGAACUUUUGUUUCAAGAUCUUAUUUGAUGCUAUAACUUUUUUGUUUUGUGUAUAUUGUGUCUCAGGGUUUGUUUUGUUUUUUUGUGUAUUCAUUCAAAGUAGAGUUCCUUCUGCUAACUUCUUUUCUUUUGAAUGUACCAUUUUGUGCUAAACCGUUUAACAUGGAUCUGUUAUUUUAGAUGAUUGUUUUGUCAAGUGUAAAAGUAUCUGUACGUUUAAUGGCAUCGGUUGUAUUUAUACAUAUGUAAUAUUGCCAAAACCCAAAUGGCUAAUCUUGGCCAUGAUGGAUUUAAAUAACAAACUGUGUCCAAAGUAGUAAGAAGUUCUCGCUAUAUCAUUUUUUUAUUGUAUAUUUCAGGAUUGUUAACAGAAGUCUUUUUUGUUAAUAGUUUGUAUUUGCUUUGUAACACAUUUGUAGACGCCUUUGAUUUGCACAUUUUGUACGAACGAAAACUCUUAAUGGUCUUAAUUUUGUACCUUUUGUCUUAACCCAGCCGGGGUAGUGUGAAUAAUCAGUGCAGCAAAUGAUCAAUUUGUUCCUCUUUGAACAAUCCUCAUUUGCCCUGCAGCUUUCCAAUAUAUCAAAUACACUGUUAUAUUAAGCUAUUACUGAUAAACCAUGUUCUACAGUUCACCACUCAAUAAAUAUCUUUAAAACAUAAAACAAA